UUUGUGGCUGAGCUGCCCCCGGAGCUCCUGCUUCGGGGUGGGCAAAUGGAGAGAGCCUUCAGGAGGGAGCGGGAAGGGCUGCGCUCUCCUGUAUGAUGCUAUCGAGGGCGAGAUGGUGCUGCAGCGCUUCUUGCGCUGGCUGCCUAGGUGUGCCGAAGUGUCUCGGUGCAUUACAGGUUCUUCGCUGUCUACAGACAGAUAAGAGUAAUGUAACCGGGUAAAAAGUGACUCCAAUCAAACGUGUGCAGGGCUGUGCUGGGAGGCAGCUGAGUUAUUUUCUGUGCAAUAGGAAAAGCACACUGCAGACAGAUGGGCUAAAGAAAGAGUAACCCUAGAGCACUUCUGAAGGCUGCAGAUAUUCCCAAAGUGUGCUUAAUCCAAUCACAGGCCCUGCGGAGCCCCGCUCCCCCCAUCCCCAAACAUAGCUCUUGCCGGGAGAUGGACACGCUCCACCUGUUGGAUCUCGAAGCUCUGGGGAAAGCCCUACUGGCCCAGCUAUGCGCUGCGGAACGCUGCUUCCCAUCACAUCACGGGGUAAUCUGGGGGGCUUCUCACCCAUCCUGCCCAUCAGAAGUUUCAGCUGCUGUAUUAGACCAAGAAUCCAAAUGAAGAUUGUAAAGUCCAUAGUUUAAAGCAUAGCAGCACAUAAUUUUUAUAGCAUCCAUUAAUCUCUUUGAAGAGUAUUCAUGUCUAUGGAAGACAGUGGCACACACAAUUACCGAAACCUGAAGCUCCAAGGCUGCUGUCAGACAGAUUAAUCCCACAUGGGCCAUUAGUGGUUCCAUCAGCCUUUCCUUGAGCAGUUCCAGUAACAAUGGCACAGCCCAAAGGUUUAUAUGUGCAGCCAUAAGCAAACACCUUCAGGAGCAGCGUUGCUAUACUCGCUGCCUGAAGGCUGUUUGGACAUGGCAGGUCCCAGUACAUGAAGUACACCCAGGUCCCACUGGGUGCUGCCCACAAACUCACCCUCAUAGCAGGGAUCAGCACCGGGGCUGGGAUGGCUACAGGUCUGAUAGCCAUUUGAAGUUGCCAUCAUUCUAUCCCCACCCACAAACCCUUAUCUCACAAAACAGGUGAAGCUCCCAAGGGCAGCCCUGACAGUGCUGCCUUGCUGCAGCAAUCCAACGACAUCUGCACCCCAACUGCCUGACACAGGGAAGCACCUCAGCACCAGCACUCAGCGAGCCAGGCUCCCAAAUCAAGUGGGAGCCAGCACAGUGCCUCCAUUCGAGAUUCCUUCCCCUAAGAGAUUGGUGACUGUUCUCUCUGCUGCUCCUUCCUUUCCCACCAAUAAAGAGUCACUGCUCGAUACAGAGUGAACAGUGGCAUAGUGAAUAGAGCUGUGUAACCAUUGAGAGAGUACAGCCAUCACUGCUGAGGAUACGGCCUACUGUCCAUAGCUUUGGGCUGAGAUUUGGGCUUUGGUUUGUCAACCGGAGUGUUGUCAGCACUUUGAUGAUGUUGUAUUCCUCAAGACAUCCAUAGCAGGGUAGGACAUGUAAGAUAAGGCCUGGUUUCCAUGAAAUAAGGCCUGGAUUCCACAAGCUUAAAAUCUCAGAUUUCCAGAGAAGCUGGAAGAACUCCUACAAGGGGUAAGAAGGAGGUAACGCAAGAUGAAUAUUUGCUGCCUUAGACACAGCACUUCCCAAGAGGCUGUUUGUUACUCUGCAGUCUGCAUGGCGGCUGGCAGGUGACCUGGCCCCAAUAGUUCUGCUCCCGGGGCUCUCUUUUAGCCCCACAGCUCCAUGGCAGCAGCGGCCCUUCGCAUCAGAAUGCAAAUUCCAGGUUGCAGCACAGCAUCCUUCAGCAAUACACCCCCAGUGUGCUCAGGUGACGGGGUUAGGCUGCAUGGCCUGCCUGCCCAAGGGAGGCCUGCCUACUCCACCUGCUUGCCCUGGAGCGCAUAGGCUACUACAAAGUUACAGGGAUGAGGCAAGCUUAAGGCCUUGCUCAGAGGGAACAGCAAAUGUUUGGCAUUGGAGGAGUUCUCUGGGCAGAGAUAGGAGAGCAGGCAGUGAGAAGCACUGGUCUCUCAUACAGGAUAAGGGGAGCGAGCAUAAGAGCUGUGGGGCAGCGAUUGGACAGACCUGCUGCACUGCCGGGCUUCAUCUUGCUCUUGCUCACCCAGUGCAGAACAGCGGCUGCUACAGUCAGCAGAUGGCUGGGAUAAUGCUUUAGGGAAGCAUGACUGCGACUGACAACCAAGACUCAGAAAAGAACAUUAAGGCUCACUCUCAGGCCUUGUCUGCACAAGGGAAUUUUCCUCCCUCCUCCAAAUUCCCACAAUUUCUAAUAUGAAUGCAGCUGCACAAUUGUUAGGGAUGCUGGGAGCCGUAAUAUAUGAGUUUUCAUCCUGUCAGCCAUUUGCAGCACUGUGUCAAUUAACCCUCCUCAGAGCAGGGUUAACUGAUCCAGUGCUGCAAGUGGCUGCUGGCGCUGAGAGCUGUCUAUGCUGAGCUCCCAUUGCUGUGAGCCCCGGUGCAGCUGCAGGGGAAGCAGUCCAUGUGGGGUUAUUUUGGUAAUAAUUCCCCAAACCUGAAACAGCCUAAGAAUGCAAUAUGGCCAUGCUGUGGGCCAGGACAUGCAGCGGCUGCCCUGCAGGAGCUGGGCACCUAGGUUGCUGCUCCUCACAAGGAGUUCUGUCCUACAGUCCAAAGAAGAGCACUUUCUGAAUUUCUGUAUGAAAUCCCCAGACUGGCUGUGUCUUUUCACUGAUCCACACACUCACUCAUUCAGAACUGUGUUGUCAGUCAUGGACACUUGAUCACUGGUUUUUGUUUCUCGUUUCUGAGUGCAAAACUAGCUCUUUGCUAGGUUGCUCUUCGCUGGCAGCUUUUAAUUCUAACAAGAGUGUAUUUAUGUAGCAGCAGGCAGACUCAAGCUGUCCUGUGAUGAAGUUCUCUCACAAAUGAGUAGAGGUGGCAAAAUCAGUCCCACUGGUGUCCAUGCACUUUGGGAAACAGCACACUGCUGAUGCGGGUGUCACCCCAUGCCCAGCAAGGCUAACCACUCUGUCCUUGUCCACCACCAACUAAAACAGGGAAAUGCUGCUCUGCAUUUGUUAAACUUUGAACAACCAUUUAUAUGACCAAUACCUGGAGUCAGGGUUUUUUUCAUGAGUGUAAUUUGGAUGUGUUAAAAUGUUGAAGCUCAGACUCAGCAAAAACCUCACUGAAAAGCUCUAGUUCACUACAGCCCUUGAUUAAUGAUGGCCAGGUUUCAUUUCAUGCUUGGCAUUUUAUGCAAAUACAGAACAUAGCUCUGUGCAGACUGCACAUGCCUAUAAAUAUCUGUGGAGGCUGAACGCACCUGCCCAGGAACAGCCCGAGGAGAUGCCCAGCCCAGGGUGCUGGGGUGUGGGGCAAACUCUGGUUUGGCAACAACCCGGAUAUAACCAGGAAUUUUGAGAAAGGGGAAAGGAGCCAGCUCAUUCUUUCCUUACCACUGAUAUUUUGACUAGCUGUUUCCUCUGCUUGGGGGUCCGUCUGGACAAGGUGAGGGAGCUUCCUGCAGAGCAGGUGCCCCAGCAGUCCCUGGGAGGAAGGAGGAGUGACGUCCCUGCUACCCUUCAGUUCAGAUCAAGCUGUGGAGAUGCAUGGCAAAGUGCUCAGGUCACAGUUGUCACACCAGGAAGCUGCCUCUUGGUUCUAAAUGUAGAUCCUUCGAUCUGAGCCAUACAAUGUGUUAGUCAACCGUAAGCUACUCGAGGAUGGAUCAGCAGCUGAAAGUCCUCCUUCGUCACACAAAAACCUCGUUGCCUGCCGAAGACCACACAGAGAAUGUACACACGUAGAGUAAGUUGGAGAUCUUGGGGAAAAGCAGGAUUGGAUUGGAUGUUUCAUUUGAGAAAUCACAAGCUUCAACUAAAAAUAAGUCCUCAUGCGUUGGGCUUUGGAAUCUUGAGCGUGUGGCCGAUUGGCUCCCAACCUUCUUGACUUCUUGUUGGAUGAGCCCUAAGGUGCUCUGAAGGUGAUGUGAAUUCUGAGCAAUUUUCCAUGGGGAGAAGUUCCUCAGGCAGCCAGAACAUACAGGAUGUAAAAGCCUUGUUCUGACAGUUCCACCCAUCUUCCACCCUGUGGAUGUCCUGUGUUGGGGAUCAUGCUGUGAAGAGGGCUCAGUGGAUGUUGCUUUGUGCUGGAAUGAGUUUCACCCACAGAAAGCAUACUGGCUUUCUAUCAUUUUUUUUCCCCACAAGCUAAGAUAAAUUUUUGCUUUGGUCCAUUAACAAUACUUGUAUUUUUAAUCAGAAUUAUUUUGAAUGGUAUUUUCUUUGGAAAUAACAGUAAUACAGUUUAUGUGAAAUACAAACAAAUGAGGGAACGAUUUUUACCUAAAUGUAUGAAUAGCAUUUUGCAAUUUGUCAUUGUGAUAUAUUUAUCUUUUGAACUUUAAGUGAGCUCAGCUGAAAAAAAUGCUUCUCUUCAGCACAUGACUGGAAAAUAUAUUACACCAGAGAAGUAUAUUGCUGUUUCAGUUCAGAAAUUAGUGGCUAAAUAUAAUUUUCCACUAUACUUACUUUCACAAAGUAUGUAGUAAACUGUUUACGUUACAGUAAAUUCUUAGUACGUAUUCCAAAAGGUGUUAAAAUCAGCGUUCUCACCCAAAUUAAUGAGUAUUUUGUGAAUGCACAUUAAGAGUGAAUAGAUCUUUAAGAUCUAUUAGAAAAGACUCAUAAAAUGUUUUGUUUUCUGUUGAAGCCUUAAAACCACUGUAAUACAGCUAGCACAAAGAGUUGUCAACACAAUGAACUCAGGGGAACAGAGAAGAAACCAGUGCGGAGCAGAAAGAUUUUGGCUGCCCAGUAAAGGAGUGAUGAGGCACAGCUGAAGACCUAGGCCUGCUCCCUGCCUGAGAGCCAUCCCCUUCCAGCAGCAUGGCACAUUUGUCUCCAUGUGCAGUCCUUUUCACAGAAGCUUCCCACAGACGAAGAGGAACUGCCUUGCCACUCCUUACCCUGCUGGCUCAGGAGCAGGACCAGACCUGUCUGCAAGCUGGACGAUGGCAGCUGCUCCCGUUUUGCCCAGGGGUCAUCUGCCUGUCACAUCGCAGACAUGUAACCACCGUGUGAUGGAGAGCAGCCAAGCAGCCAUCGAGACAAGCUGGGGCCGGGUGGGAGCUGAUGCUGCUGCCAGAACUGUGCCUCUCAGGCACUCCCUGCUCACUGUGCCCAGGAAAAAAGCUGCUGGGAACGAGCUGCGGGAUGGACACGUUGUCCCCUCCACCUGCUGUCCAUGGGGCGAGCAGCUGCUUCCUACAGCAUGCCAUCACUGUGUUCCCGAACCAUUCAGCUCCUCUGAUAACGGGAUUGGUUUUUGUCCGCUUCCCCUUUGCACAUAUACAGACUGCACAACGUGGUCUGAGUUUUGUUGCUCAGGAGGCAGAUUUCCUUCCUUUCUCUUAUCGGAGAGCACACCUUGGGCACAGCAGCUACACCCAGAGCCUCGGAGGUGCCUGGGUGCCUACCUCCCACUGAGCUGGGCAGAAUGGAAAGUCUGCACCAUAUCAUGGAAAGGCAACUGUCAGUAUUCCUCAUCUACAGGGCCAUUUUGGAGGCAAAGACAUUUCUGGCCCACAGAGACAAAGAUGAUGGCAACCAUUCAAAAAUCACAUGCAUGAGAGAGAGUAGGGCUGGGGAAAGGCUUAGGUUUGGUUACCUAAGGCAAAGAAACAUCUUUAAAUGUUUUGGGUUGUGACUCGGAAUUAGUAGAAAGAGGUUUAAACAAAUCUUCGUACCUAAAGUUCUGUCUGAAAAUACUUGGAGCCUUGUAUUUGUUUUUUUUUGAAUAAUGAUAUUAGUAAGAGUCCAUUAUAUAAUCACAAGAAAAUUAAAACUCUCCAGGGCAUGAUCUUAGCUAUGUAAUUAACAGGGGUGGUUAAAAGUACAAAGUAAACCUGAAGCAAAAUUUGUACCAGAACCACACCUCGUUAUGUUUUUGCUGCCUAAGUCUGUCAUAAAUAGAGAUGUUUAUUACACAUCUGCCAUUUAAAGUAUGUACUACAUGUAAUGUAUUUUAUUUAGAUUUAAAAAUUUAAAAACACAAGAUGACAAGCUGUGUUACUAUUAACACAUGCCUCGAGGACCAGGGGUGCACAUUCUAUUUGUGCCUUAGGUUAUAUUACAAUACAGCCACUCCAGAGUUAGAAAUGUAGAGGUACAUUGAGCAAUUAGUGUGCCUGAUUUCAGCCCAUGGAGUUUCACUGGUGUGAUAGAACAAUCAAGCCCUGUAUAUCCAUUCACAUUUAUUAGACCAAACUUUGUAGUCUCUCCUUAGAGCACCACUCCCUCCCCUGCUUUCAACAGAAAACGGCACUAAAAUCUCCAGAACUUCCCAAAGGAAAAGCAGUUAUUUUCUUUCCUUGUGAUUAUUUAUUUUUUUUUUCUUCAAAGCAGAAACAGUUCUGUACUGACUGAAAUGCAAAGGCAGAAAGGCAAGAGAUGGUGAGCCAGUUACAUGCUUAAUUCUCUCUUUACGUUCGCUUUCCUGAGCAGACUGCCCUCCUGAACUAGCUCCAGGGCUGGCUUUGAAGAAAUCUUUCACAGAAAAGCUUUCGCGGAAAAUCAUAUCGUCCAGGAUCUGCAGGGAAGGAAGUCCCUCUGUGUGCAUUCGGGUUAUUACCAGCAGAUCCUUAGUAAUUCUUCUGGCCAGUGAGGAAAAGAAAGUAUAGUUUCUUUGAUUCAAGAGCUUUGACGAAGAAAAACGUCACCUCCUAGCCAGCUUUUCUUUGUAAGAUGGCUACCCAAAGUCAGUUUCUAUCACUAUUUCCUAGUUUUCAGAUCCUUUCAGUUGUCUGUUAAGGUGGCAUACAUUUAGUAUAUUCUAUAUAUUGAAGUUAUAUAUCUGCACAACAAACACUUAAUGCUGUGAUGUUGUAGACGGUAUGACUCAGCCCACUGGCAAAGGGGGUUAGCCUUCCAUACGAGGCCUACCAGACCUUCCUGGCAUGUCGCAGCGUGGAUUGCCUGGCAGCCGUGGUUGGUUUCUAAAAAGCUAACAUAGCAAAUGACUCCCAAAUGAGUCAGACCCAUCUCUUCAGACCAAACCCAGGGAACUCCAAAGUCGUUCUCUGAGGAGUCUUUCCAAAUUUAGUUGUUGCCUGAUCGCACGAGGGAAAAGAGCUGAAUGUUAGCUAUUCACAAGCCAGCUCUUUGCUUCUCAUCAAACUUCAGCUGCUGCUGAAUCUCCCAAAUUUCUCAAACCACACAAUAAUCUAGACCUGUACAUAAGGCAACUGGCAAAACCUGAAGUCAAGGCAUUCCAAUAUGGAUCUGCUAGAAGGAGAGAUGCCCUUUACUUCCAUACCAGCAAUAUUCUCCAACAAGGAGGCCUCUUUCCUCAGGUUUUCAACUUCAUCUAGAAUUUUAAUUCAGACUCCGAAGUCACUGAAGAAAAAAUUUAAGUGGUAUCUGAACUUAACAAAAGAUCUCGGUCCUUCCUAUGAGAUUCAGUCCUUGGUUACACAUCUGCACAAGAUUUCCAGGACCAGUUGUUGCUUAGAUCUAAAUCCCAUGCACUGAGACAUUUGAUUAAAAAUUAAGAUGCAGUGCAUAACUGUCUGGCUGUCCAACAGCAGUGGUCUUUCACUGCUUCACAGCAUUGAUCACUAUUAUGUGACACAUUACCACUUCCCCUCUCUCUCUUAGGGGCCUCUGCAGAGGUAGGGCCCAGCUUUGGCUUGGGAACACCCUGCUGCAAGUCACUAAAAUCAGAGAUAUACCAGAAAAUGUGUACCUUGCUCUCAUGCUCCUCUCCAGACUUCAGCCACUAUUGCAGGUAGGUUGCUUGGCUGGAUGGACCUUGGUUUGAGCCAGAGUUAUGAUCUUACAGCUGCACGCACCAGCAGUAACAGAUAAAUAAUUGCUUGGAGAAAUCAAGGUUGUUAUUUCUGUUUCAAUACUUAGGUACUGUAAGCAGCAUGAAGAAGGUGCUGAACAGAUAAAUCUCUUCGUUUCUAUUCUAUUUCAAUUCUUCUUUUAUUGGCAUGAACCUGGGAGGAUGAGACCACUCACUAGCAGAAAUCUGUAUCUUCCCAAACAAGUAUUGAUGAAAGCCUUUGUAUUGCAUAUUGACACUUUCAGUUUAUCACCUAUCCAUUCAUCUCAUUUGUGCAACAUUUCAUUGUAUUUAAAUUGAUUUUGGCUUUAAAGAUAGCUGAAGUGGCCUUCCCACAUGACACAUUGUAUAAGAAAAUCUAUCUUGGAAAUGCUUUAGUGAUUUUUCUACUACUAUUAUUUUUAAUAAUAACAACUUUGAUACCUUCCUAACAAAACAAGGCAUGCUGCCUUUUCAUGUCCAAGUCUCCAUUACUCCCUUAUUCACAGUGACUUCUGAACAAAUUGGCAAGUUAAGUAAAGUUUGGCAGAUGCAAAGAGAUCCCAAAGAUAAUUAAGUUCCUGCAAGUUUCAUGAAUGUUCAUAGCCAAGAGAGGAGAUAAAGAUGCCUCCAUCAGCAGAAACUCUGCAGAAACCCUCUCUGUGUGCCACCAGCCCAUUGAGUGCUCUCAGGCUGGUCAGACAGUGAAUGUACAGAGAAUCAGAUCAGCCAAUUCUUUAUCUUCUCCAUUUGAUUGUCGAGGUCACAGAGGGAGCUGAGUUAAGCACAUAUGCAUCUGAAUGACAAGAGAAACUGAGGAAGUGGAAAAAGAACAGAAGACCAAAGGGAGAAGGGACUACAGUGCUUGAAAAGGCAUAUCAAGCAUAACAUACUGAAACAUAUUUCAUUUAUGCCACUUACAAAUGUACUUGAGAUCCAUCGAUGGUAUUUUUCAUGCACCUUUUUUCUUGCACUUACAAAUUCUGGCUGCAUGAGUACCAAAGGUGUAACUACCAGGCUUGAUGGAAGGAAGAAUCACAUGAGAACCCUUUUAACGUUAUCCAAAAUAGCUUUUCCAUGUAGCAGUUUGAUACUGCUAGCACUUUCACUGCUGUUCUAGGCUCUAUUUCCAUGUGAUCAAAUAUGCAUAACAACGAAUGCCUUAGAGACUUUCAGCUGUCUUGUGGAAUAAAAUGCUGCAGUACCCGAUAAUGGUAAUGCAGAGUAAUGGACACCGGAAAUUAACAGAGAUCCAGGCGGAGUAUUGUUUAUCCUGCCCAUUAAAGGAUGAUAUUCCAUAUUUAUGGGAAAAUGAGAAAUGUUUUAUUGUGGGUAGAUGAUGUUUACAGGAAUUUUCCUUGAGUGUAUUUCACUGCUUGAAUUUGGUUCACUUUCCAUACUGAAUAGUCAAAAGCAAGCCAGUCCAAACAAGGACCAGUAAAAUAUACACAACAUAACCCUUGUGUCUCUAAUUUCUAAAUGUAUAGUCUAUACAGAUAUGUCUUUCAAUGAAGAUUUGAACUCCGAGCUUAAGAAAUAGUCACUGUUUUUCUUCUUUGUCCUUAAAGCCAAAUGUUUAAAAUUAUGUGAGUCCAGUACCAAACGUACUGAAUGCAAAUAUAUAAAUUGCAGUUUCACAGAGAAGUAUUAUUUUAUAACAAACUCUCUCAUAUUCAUUAAAGAUUAAAAUUGGUGCUACACGCAUGCUAGUACCGA